rnacentral:rRNA from 1 species
UACGUAGGGCGCAAGCGUUGUCCGGAUUUAUUGGGCGUAAAGAGCUCGUAGGUGGUUCGGUAAGUCGGGUGUGAAACCUCCAGGCUCAACCUGGAGACGCCACCCGAUACUGCUGUGACUGGAGUCCGGUAGGGGAGCGUGGAAUUCCUGGUGUAGCGGUGAAAUGCGCAGAUAUCAGGAGGAACACCAGCGGCGAAGGCGGCGCUCUGGGCCGGUACUGACACUGAGGAGCGAAAGCGUGGGUAGCAAACAGG